CGUGAGGAAGGCAGACCCAGGGAACUGAAACAUCUAAGUACCUGGAGGAAGAGAAAGAAAAAUCGAUUUCCUGAGUAGCGGCGAGCGAAACGGAAAGAGCCCAAACCAAGAAGCUUGCUUCUUGGGGGUGUAGGACACUCUAUACGGAGUUACAAAAGAAAGUUAUAAAUGAAGCGGUCUGGAAAGGCCCGCCAAAGACGGUAACAGCCCGGUAGUUGAAAUGGCUUUCCCUCCAGAGUGGAUCCUGAGUACGGC
rnacentral:rRNA from 1 species